CGAUGAACCACAUUCGGUGGGGAUUAGUGGCGAACGGGUGAGUAACACGUGGGCAAUCUGCCCUUCACUCUGGGACAAGCCCUGGAAACGGGGUCUAAUACCGGAUAACACUUCCACUCUCCUGGGUGGAGGUUAAAAGCUCCGGCGGUGAAGGAUGAGCCCGCGGCCUAUCAGCUUGUUGGUGAGGUAAUGGCUCACCAAGGCGACGACGGGUAGCCGGCCUGAGAGGGCGACCGGCCACACUGGGACUGAGACACGGCCCAGACUCCUACGGGAGGCAGCAGUGGGGAAUAUUGCACAAUGGGCGAAAGCCUGAUGCAGCGACGCCGCGUGAGGGAUGACGGCCUUCGGGUUGUAAACCUCUUUCAGCAGGGAAGAAGCGAAAGUGACGGUACCUGCAGAAGAAGCGCCGGCUAACUACGUGCCAGCAGCCGCGGUAAUACGUAGGGCGCAAGCGUUGUCCGGAAUUAUUGGGCGUAAAGAGCUCGUAGGCGGCUUGUCACGUCGGGUGU
rnacentral:rRNA from 1 species